UACGUAGGGUGCAAGCGUUGUCCGGAAUUAUUGGGCGUAAAGAGCUCGUAGGCGGCUUGUCGCGUCGGCUGUGAAAACCUGGGGCUCAACUCCGGGCCUGCAGUCGAUACGGGCAGACUGGAGUUCGGCAGGGGAGACUGGAAUUCCUGGUGUAGCGGUGAAAUGCGUAGAGAUCCGGAGGAACACCAAAGGCGAAGGCAGUGUCCUGGGGAGUACCUGACGCUCAGGUGCGAAAGCCAGGGGAGCGAACGGG
rnacentral:rRNA from 1 species